UACAGAGACUGCAAGCGUUAUUCGGAUUCACUGGGCGUAAAGGGUGCGCAGGCGGCCAAGUGUAGUGAGGUGUGAAAGCCCGGGGCUUAACCCCGGAAUUGCACCUCAAACUACUUGGCUAGAGCAUUGGAGAGGGUAGCAGAAUUCACGGUGUAGCAGUGAAAUGCGUAGAUAUCGUGAGGAAUACCAGAGGCGAAAGGCGGCUACCUGGACAAUUGCUGACGCUCAGGCACGAAAGCGUGGGGAGCAAAAGGG
rnacentral:rRNA from 1 species